UACAGAGGUCCCGAGCGUUGUUCGGAUUCAUUGGGCGUAAAGGGUGCGUAGGCGGCUUCCUAAGUUUGAUGUGAAAUCCUGGGGCUCAACCCUGGAACUGCAUUGAAUACUGGGAGGCUAGAGUACUGGAGAGGAAACUGGAAUUUACGGUGUAGCAGUGAAAUGCGUAGAGAUCGUAAGGAAGACCAGUGGCGAAGGCGAGUUUCUGGACAGUUACUGACGCUGAGGCACGAAGGCCAGGGGAGCAAAUGGG
rnacentral:rRNA from 1 species